UCGGGAAUCUUCGGCAAUGGACGAAAGUCUGACCGAGCAACGCCGCGUGAGUGAAGAAGGUUUUCGGAUCGUAAAACUCUGUUGUUAGAGAAGAACAAGGACGUUAGUAACUGAACGUCCCCUGACGGUAUCUAACCAGAAAGCCACGGCUAACUACGUGCCAGCAGCCGCGGUAAUACGUAGGUGGCAAGCGUUGUCCGGAUUUAUUGGGCGUAAAGCGAGCGCAGGCGGUUUCUUAAGUCUGAUGUGAAAGCCCCCGGCUCAACCGGGGAGGGUCAUUGGAAACUGGGAGACUUGAGUGCAGAAGAGGAGAGUGGAAUUCCAUGUGUAGCGGUGAAAUGCGUAGAUAUAUGGAGGAACACCAGUGGCGAAGGCGGCUCUCUGGUCUGUAACUGACGCUGAGGCUCGAAAGCGUGGGGAGCAAACA
rnacentral:rRNA from 1 species